ACUUCCUAAAUCCCAACAAGCCCUCUCUCUCUUUCCGUUUUUCCGGCCACCGCCGUCCACCCUCAACCCAUUCCAGAGAUCGAAGAGAAAACGGAACCCCCUCCCCAUUCCUCGUCCAUUCCUCCCUAAUCCCCUCCAGAUUCAAGAAGCAGAAGGGCUCCGGCGAUGAUGUCUUCGCCCGCCUCUUCGCCGCCUCUUGGAUCCCGACUUCGUUCCCCUCUCCCUCGAACCACGGAUCCUCAAGUCCCACCUCAUCGCCGGCGAGACCCUCUGCGGCCUCUUCCUCCUGCGCUCCUCCCCGACCCUCGCCGGCUACGACUACAUGGUCGUCGACAUGGAGCACGGCCCUAAAGAGAUCUCGCUUGUUACUUGCCCUCCAGACCUUUAAAUUCAUGAAUUCCUGAAGAAAUCUAUAGUAGAUCAACUGAUUUCGAGAUCUAUAAUUCAUCAGGCUUCGGACGAGAAGACCGAUGGGAGGAUCGUGCCGAGGCAGUUCUUGGACCUUGGUCCGGCAGGUGAUGUUGGGGGUUCUGUUCUUGCCAUCCACCAUUCAGGACCGUGGUUCUGAAUUCUCAUGCACAGAGAACCUGAUCUUAAAUCAGGGAGAAUGCAAGUCAUUUAGCGACACUGAGGUGUGCAAAACAAAGCUGGUGACUCUCUGCCGGAAAGGAAAUAAUGGAAUAGACUCGUCUUCGGAGGUGAUCCGACUGCCUGUGCCAUAUCAGCUCCCGCCGCAACCAUACACCUCUGAAGAUAUCCCCUGGUCCUGGGAUAGGCAAUAUUUUGAGAAAGAUGUGUAUGGUCAAGUUUGGCCACAUCAUGUUGAGCUGUAUGCAAAUGAAGAUGCUUGACCCCUGCAUUUUUUUCCCGCUAAAGAUGCACAUUUAUGAUCGUAGUCUUGGUUCAUGUGGAAAUGACAAGCAGGUUCAGAAGCUAACCUUCUUUUGUAGUAAAAUGAGCAGGGAGGAAUGAUACCAAAGGACAACUCUCCUACCCCAAUUCCUAGGAGUCAUGAAUGCGGAGCAAGUGAUGGUAACACUUCUUCAGCUUCAGCCAUCGAAGGCAACUAUGACUCAGGAUUUGUAGGUUGGGAUGUGCUCAAAGCACAGCACGGAUUGAAGAACUUCUCCAAGAGGACCAAAAUGUCAAACGUAAGCGAGAACGGUUCCAAAGGCAGUCAUCUCUCCUCUCUAAACUUACUCGCCAGCUUAGCAUCCAUGACAACCGUGCAGCUGCUGCUAGCUGGUCCGAUGGUGGCACUGGAGCAGAGAGCAGCCCAAGAACCCCUAGUCGCCCGGGUGAUGAAUGGAGGUCUGCAUUCGAUGCUGCAGCAAAUGGGUCGUUCAGUGAGUCGAGGUCCAACAGCAUCAAUGGUCACAGCCGGCAUUAUAGCGACGCAAACUCUGGCAGCCGUCGCACACCAAAUCGGUUGCCACCCCCACCACCACAGGGGAGUUCAUGAAUGUACAAAUACUAGGCGACCAGAUUGGCAUCUUAUACCUCUGGUAUUCUUGUUGGAUGCUCGUUUCCUUUGGGCUGUUGAGCUCCAAAAGGAGGAACAAAUUUAAAAAAUUAGAUCGAUGAUGUGUACCUUGGGAUUUCGAUGUAUACCUCUGGUAUUUUUUUUCCCAGCACCUUGGGAUUUCGAUGUAUGGCUUUGUAAUUUUUCUUUUGGGAUGCUAGUUUUCGUUGUAUUUUUUUUUUUUUAAUUUCAAUUUAUUUGGGUGCCA